rnacentral:tRNA from 1 species
UCCUCGUUAGCUCAGUCGGUAAAGAAUCUGCCUGCAGUGCAGGAGACCCAGAUACGAUUCCUGGGUCAGGAA